rnacentral:snoRNA from 1 species
CAUCUAUGAUGAACGAAAAUGGCUUUAUAUUCUGACACCUCUAAUGAAUUAUCUGUGAUUCAAACAGCUAUAAUAAACUACUGAAACG